rnacentral:rRNA from 1 species
AUGUGUGAGGUUGCAGCAUCAUUGGGGCCAGUACUAGAAAUUGACAUGGAUACCAUCACCCAUGAAAAAAUCAGAGCUAAAGUGGGGAUUAGAGACUCAGAAAAAAUUCCAGGAUACAAUGAGAUUACAGAUAGAGAUCUGAAAAUUUAUAGAAUCAUGCCUAAGCUGGAAAAAGUGGUGGAGAUGGGCUGGUAUGGUGAACAUAAGAGACAACACUUGGGUGAAACGGGCAUGGAAUGUGUGGGAGAGGAGGUGAGAAAAAGACAGAAAAACUGGGAUUCUGGAGAAAGCAACAAAGAAAAUGUGAAGAGUACACCAAAGAGAAGGAGGCUAGGCAGAAAGUGGAAACUGAUCUGGCUACUGUCAUCCAGAAAAUGCAAAAGUUGGAGGAGGAAAACAUUAGACAAAAAGCUCUUAAAACUCAAGAUGACAAAAAGAUUCAGGAAAUGGGAGUGGAGAAGAAAAAGCUGGUGGAAAUGGUCAACCAACAAUAGGGGAUGA